GGGAACUUAGCUCAGUUGGUAGAGCAGCGGACUCUUAAUCCGUUUGUCGAGGGUUCGACCCCCUCAGUUCCCACCA
rnacentral:tRNA from 1 species